UACAGAGGGUGCGAGCGUUGUCCGGAAUCACUGGGCGUAAAGGGCGCGUAGGUGGCGACCCAAGUCUGUGGUGAAAGCUCGCCGCUUAACGGCGAGUCGGCCACGGAUACUGGGUGGCUCGAGCACUGUAGGGGCAGAUGGAAUUCCGGGUGUAGCGGUGGAAUGCGUAGAGAUCCGGAAGAACACCGGUGGCGAAGGCGGCAUCCUGGACCGGCAUUGACGCUGAGGAGCGAAAGCCAGGGGAGCAAACGGG
rnacentral:rRNA from 1 species